AUUGAACGCUGGCGGCAGGCCUAACACAUGCAAGUCGAGCGGAUGAAGGGAGCUUGCUCCUGGAUUCAGCGGCGGACGGGUGAGUAAUGCCUAGGAAUCUGCCUGGUAGUGGGGGAUAACGUCCGGAAACGGGCGCUAAUACCGCAUACGUCCUGCGGGAGAAAGUGGGGGAUCUUCGGACCUCACGCUAUCAGAUGAGCCUAGGUCGGAUUAGCUAGUUGGUGGGGUAAAGGCCUACCAAGGCGGCGAUCCGUAACUGGUCUGAGAGGAUGAUCAGUCACCUUGGAGCUGAGACACGGUCCAGACUCCUACGGGAGGCAGCAGUGGGGAAUAUUGGACAGUGGGCGAGAGCCUGAUCCAGCCAUGCCGCGUGUGUGAAGAAGGUCUUCGGAUUGUAAAGCACUUUAAGUUGGGAGGAAGGGCAGUAAGUUAAUACCUUGCUGUUUUGACGUUACCAACAGAAUAAGCACCGGCUAACUUCGUG
rnacentral:rRNA from 1 species